rnacentral:rRNA from 1 species
GAGAUUUGAGAGGGGCUGCUCCUAGUACGAGAGGACCGGAGUGGACGAACCUCUGGUGUUCCGGUUGUCACGCCAGUGGCAUUGCCGGGUAGCUAUGUUCGGAAAAGAUAACCGCUGAAAGCAUCUAAGCGGGAAACUUGCCUCAAGAUGAGAUCUCACUGGGAACUUGAUUCCCCUGAAGGGCCGUCGAAGACUACGACGUUGAUAGGCUGGGUGUGUAAGCGUUGUGAGGCGUUGAGCUAACCAGUACUAAUUGCCCGUGAGGCUUGACCAUAUAACACCCAAACA